GNCNNUUGCGCUCCAGGACGAACGCUUGGCGGCGGGCCUCCNCCACAUGGCAAGUCGCAGGAGAACCACGCCUUCGGGCGUGGGGAGACUGGCGCACGGGUGAGUAGCGCGUAGGCGAUCUGCCCAUAUCAGGGGAAUAACCUCGCGAAAGCGGGGCUAAUUCCGCAUAAUGCAGCGGGGCCGCAUGGCCACAGUUGUUAAAGGCCUUCGGGUCGGAUAUGGAUGAGCCUGCGUGCCAUUAGUUAGUUGGUGGGGUAAAAGCCUACCAAGGCGAUGAUGGCUAGGGGGUCUGAGAGGAUGAUCCCCCACACUGGAACUGAGACACGGUCCACACUCCUACGGGAGGCAGCAGUGAGGAAUCUUGCGCAAUGGGGGCAACCCUGACGCAGCCACGCCGCGUGCCGGAAGACGGCCCUAUGGGUUGUAAACGGCUUUUGAUUGGGAAGAAAGUGCUGGAUUCGUCCGGCAUUGACGGUACCGAUUGAAUAAGCACCGGCUAACUCCGUGCCAGCAGCCGCGGUAAUACGGAGGGUGCAAGCGUUGUCCGGAAUCAUUGGGUGUAAAGGGUGCGUAGGCUGGCGCCUAAGUCUGGGGUGAAAUCUUGCCGCUUAACGGUAAAAAUGGCCCUGGAUACUGGGUGUCUUGAAUCUGACAGAGGUCGGUGGAAUUCGUGGUGUAGCGGUGAAAUGCAUAGAGAUCACGAAGAACACCAGUGGCGAAAGCGGCCGGCUGGGUCAGUAUUGACGCUGAGGCACGAGAGCGUGGGGGAGCGAACAGGAUUAGAUACCCUGGUAGUCCAC
rnacentral:rRNA from 1 species